UCCUCCAAAGACACUGCAGUGGUCUCUAGUGGAGAAGUGAUCCUGACUGCCUCUGAGCUCCCAGCCCAGGGUGAAGCGCAUCGGCUCUGGUCUGAAGUGCCCCAGGUCUUCAGCUAUGGCUUGCUGGCAGUAGCUGCCUCCACUGUGCUUGUGGUCUCUGCGCUGCUGCUGGUAGCUGGGUGGAGAUUCAGACCUUGUACACAGAACAAAGCUGUAACUGGAGCAUAAUAAAGGGAGAAAUGAA